rnacentral:piRNA from 1 species
UGGGUCAGUCCACAUGAUUGCAGGAUUUCC